AACUUUGUCAUGAUCAGCUCUAGA
rnacentral:piRNA from 1 species